rnacentral:ncRNA from 1 species
UAGAUAGAGGCGCGGUAUCCAUCAGUACCAUCCCGCAGGCAUUAGGCGGCGCGGGGUGCGAAAGGGGCCACCGCCGAAGCGUGAGAGCUUGCCUAAGGGCUCUUGUUGCUGGGUCGGCAGAUAACAUCUGCCGGACUGUCACAUAACUUGUGAAGCGCUAUC